GUGGGGAAUUUUGGACAAUGGGCGCAAGCCUGAUCCAGCAAUGCCGCGUGCAGGAAGAAGGCCUUCGGGUUGUAAACUGCUUUUGUACGGAACGAAACGGUCCUGGCUAAUAUCCGGGGCUAAUGACGGUACCGUAAGAAUAAGCACCGGCUAACUACGUGCCAGCAGCCGCGGUAAUACGUAGGGUGCAAGCGUUAAUCGGAAUUACUGGGCGUAAAGCGUGCGCAGGCGGUUUUGUAAGACAGGCGUGAAAUCCCCGGGCUCAACCUGGGAAUUGCGCUUGUGACUGCAAGGCUGGAGUGCGGCAGAGGGGGAUGGAAUUCCGCGUGUAGCAGUGAAAUGCGUAGAUAUGCGGAGGAACACCGAUGGCGAAGGCAAUCCCCUGGGCCUGCACUGACGCUCAUGCACGAAAGCGUGGGGAGCAAACAGGAUUAGAAACCCGUGUAGUCC
rnacentral:rRNA from 1 species